GCCUUUGUAGCUCAGUUGGUUGCAGCGCUGCUCCGGAAUCGCAGGGCCGUAGGUUCAAUUCCUACCCGAGGACC
rnacentral:tRNA from 1 species